GACCCCGGCCUCAUUGUCGGUGGAUCCGGCCGCCCGGAGGCGAGGGGAGACCGGCUAUCACCCUCUCUACUCUUCUCCUUCUACGUCCGGCACCGCUACAACGACGGCCGCGCGGAUCGCGUGAGGCAACGGAUCGGCGGAGGCCUGCAACAACAACGGCCGCGCGGGCGAGCAAUCGAGGAGGCCGGGAAUCACCAGAUCCGGAAGGACGGCGGCCCGAUUCGGAGAGGGAGCAACCCGAUCUGUGUCAUUGAGGCUCAUUGUAAGUGUCGACGGCGGCCGUUCCUUCACAGUGAUCCAGGGUCGUUGGGUCUGUUGAGCUCGGUAUCGACGGCAGCAGUAGCUCGGGCAAGAUGGAAGAAACGUGUUAGACACGGCCUCCUCCGAGAGCAUACACCAGCGACGUGCAGGAGGCCGAGGCCAAAGCCGAUCUUCCCCAACCCCAUCUGGCAUUAUAACUUCGAGAAGGUCAGCCUGAUGGUGCAGAACUCUGGCUUGAGGAAGACAUGCUUCAGUGUUUCUCCAUGCACCGACAACACUAUCAUCCUGCCACCACAACACACAAAUCUGGCGAUGCUUCCACCUGCAUCUGCAUGCCCCUGGCUCCCUGCAUACAAGAUUUUAUGGCAGGAAAGCUCCCAUAAGCUUCUUGGGAGGUUAGACUGCAGCAGUAAUGAAAGGUGCUGAUGAUGGAUCAUUUAGGAUAUUGUGUGCUUUGCCAGCGUUUCAGGUCCGGAUGCGGCAUCCACGUGGGCAGGCCGUUACCAUGAAGAUCAUGCCAUCGGAUUAGUUGUCCAUGUGCAUAGAUCAAAGAAAAAAAGAAGGUACAGAUGGCA
rnacentral:lncRNA from 1 species